GGGUGAGUAACGCGUAUCCAACCUUCCCAUUACUGUGGGAUAACCUGCCGAAAGGCAGACUAAUACCGCAUAGUCUUCGAUGACGGCAUCAGAUUUGAAGUAAAGAUUUAUCGGUAAUGGAUGGGGAUGCGUCUGAUUAGUUAGUUGGCGGGGUAACGGCCCACCAAGGCAACGAUCAGUAGGGGUUCAGAGAGGAAGGUCCCCCACAUUGGAACUGAGACACGGUCCAA
rnacentral:rRNA from 1 species